UGGGGAAUUUUGGACAAUGGGCGAAAGCCUGAUCCAGCAAUGCCGCGUGUGUGAAGAAGGCCUUCGGGUUGUAAAGCACUUUUGUCCGGAAAGAAAUCCUUGGCUCUAAUACAGUCGGGGGAUGACGGUACCGGAAGAAUAAGCACCGGCUAACUACGUGCCAGCAGCCGCGGUAAUACGUAGGGUGCAAGCGUUAAUCGGAAUUACUGGGCGUAAAGCGUGCGCAGGCGGUUUGCUAAGACCGAUGUGAAAUCCCCGGGCUCAACCUGGGAACUGCAUUGGUGACUGGCAGGCUAGAGUAUGGCAGAGGGGGGUAGAAUUCCACGUNUAGCAGUGAAAUGCGUAGAGAUGUGGAGGAAUACCGAUGGCGAAGGCAGCCCCCUGGGCAAUACUGACGCUCAUGCACGAAAGCGUGGGGAGCAAACAGGAUUAGAUACCCUGGUAGUCCACGCCCUAAACGAUGUCAACUAGUUGUUGGGGAUUCAUUUCCUUAGUAACGUAGCUAACGCGUGAAGUUGACCGCCUGGGGAGUACGGUCGCAAGAUUAAAACUCAAAGGAAUUGACGGGGUCAUAGCUGUUU
rnacentral:rRNA from 1 species